GGUGCGAGCGUUAAUCGGAAUUACUGGGCGUAAAGCGCAUGCAGGUGGUUUGUUAAGUCAGAUGUGAAAGCCCGGGGCUCAACCUCGGAAUUGCAUUUGAAACUGGCAGACUAGAGUACUGUAGAGGGGGGUAGAAUUUCAGGUGUAGCGGUGAAAUGCGUAGAGAUCUGAAGGAAUACCGGUGGCGAAGGCGGCCCCCUGGACAGAUACUGACACUCAGAUGCGAAAGCGUGGGGAGCAAACAGGAUUAGAUACCCUGGUAGUCCACGCCGUAAACGAUGUCUACUUGGAGGUUGUGGCCUUGAGCCGUGGCUUUCGGAGCUAACGCGUUAAGUAGACCGCCUGGGGAGUACGGUCGCAAGAUUAAAACUCAAAUGAAUUGACG
rnacentral:rRNA from 1 species